CGAACGAGAAAGUGGAGCAAUCCAUGAGUACAGUGGCGACCGGGUGAGUAACACGUGACCAACCUGCCCUCGAGUGGGGAAUAACUCCGGGAAACCGGAGCUAAUACCGCAUAACAUCGCAAGAUCAAAGCCGCAAGGCGCUUGAGGAGGGGGUCGCGGCUGAUUAGCUAGUUGGUAGGGUAAUGGCCUACCAAGGCAAAGAUCGGUAGCCGGCCUGAGAGGGCGCACGGCCACACUGGAACUGAAACACGGUCCAGACUCCUACGGGAGGCAGCAGUGGGGAAUUUUGCGCAAUGGGGGAAACCCUGACGCAGCAACGCCGCGUGGAGGAUGAAGUCCCUUGGGACGUAAACUCCUUUCGACCGGGACGAUACUGACGGUACCGGGAGAAGAAGCACCGGCUAACUCUGUGCCAGCAGCCGCGGUAAU
rnacentral:rRNA from 1 species